AAAAUUCAGUCCAUCAGCUAUGCUAGCCACAAUUCAAGUGUUCAAUUGGGCAGUGCAGAUAUAGAACUUUUCUAUCAUGACAUUACUAGACAGUGUUGGUCUGGAGACUUAAUAGUUCAUUUCUUAUAAUGCAUAAAAUUUAAAUGUUUUUUAAUUUUAAAGAGAAAACAAAGGGAAUAACUUGCUUUUAAGCUAUUGGAUAGUGUUACAAUAAUAUUUUUAAAUGAAUUGUGUUGAAUUUUGCUACAGUAGUCGUUUUGUGUUUGUACCUGGUCCAGAGGAUCCUGGAUUUGGUUCCAUCUUACCAAGGCCACCACUUGCUGAAAGCAUCACUAAUGAAUUCAGACAAAGGGUACCAUUUUCAGUUUUUACUACUAAUCCUUGCAGGUAAGAAUUAGUAUUUUGUGUUAUACAUUUUUCCUUUCAUUUAAAAAUUAGCCAGGUAUGGUGGC
rnacentral:sRNA from 1 species